GGGCGUGGCCGAGCGGUGAUGACGAGUGACUCAAAUCUUCAACUCAGUGAUAAACUCUCAUCGAUAGAUGCGCAGGUUCGAGCCCUGCCGUUGUCG